rnacentral:rRNA from 1 species
UACGUAGGGGGGCAAGCGUUUGUCCGGAAUCAUUGGGCGUAAAGAGCGUGUAGGCGGCCAGAAAAGUCCGCUGUGAAAACUCGAGCUCAACCUCGAGACGCCGGUGGAAACCAUCUAGCUAGAGUCCGGAAGAGGAGAGUGGAAUUCCUGGUGUAGCGGUGAAAUGCGCAGAUAUCAGGAAGAACACCCGUGGCGAAGGCGGCUCUCUGGGGACGUGACUGACGCUGAGACGCGAAAAGCGUGGGGGAGCAAACAGG